rfam:Shewanella oneidensis MR-1, complete genome.
CCAUAAAAAAAGGCCCAAAACGAGUCUAGCUGUUUGGGCCUAGGGGAAUGGCUCGUUAAAGAGCCGUGCGCUACAGAUGAAAGCGCCAUAUAGCGCGCUUUACAAUAGACUCAGUGUAGUUGAGUUUUGAGUGAGUGACACUUUCUCCUUCCCCUUUUU